UUGAUGCUGCAAUCCUCGCAUAACCAGAAGAAGGGUCACAGGUAUUCAGGUGAAUAUUUUUUCUUUGAAGUGUGUUUGGGUUUGUUGGUUUGAGGAAAUCGAAUGUAAGCACGGGCGACUACUGUACGCAAUUGCGCACAGUAGUCCUUGCAGGGAGACUACUGCUGUCGUAACGCGAAUUCGGUUCUGCCGCUUAGGUUUGCCUGUAAUAAUUCUAUUCAUCUGUUGUUUGGCGGUAAGUUUGGCGGUAAGCAGUGCUGGAGUCAAAAGCUACUAAACACACUUUCCGAUGCCCUGCGUGUACAGUUUUGCCUACCGGGGGCCCCAUCCCGCCUUCUUUCGGAAGCGCUAUACUCUCAAGG
rnacentral:lncRNA from 1 species